GAUGAACGCCGGCGGCGUGCCUAAUACAUGCCAGUCGAGCGAACAGACGAGGAGCUUGCUCCUCUGACGUUAGCGGCGGACGGGUGAGUAACACGUGGAUAACCUACCUAUAAGACUGGGAUAACUUCGGGAAACCGGAGCUAAUACCGGAUAAUAUAUUGAACCGCAUGGUUCAAUAGUGAAAGACGGUUUUGCUGUCACUUAUAGAUGGAUCCGCGCCGCAUUAGCUAGUUGGUAAGGUAACGGCUUACCAAGGCAACGAUGCGUAGCCGACCUGAGAGGGUGAUCGGCCACACUGGAACUGAGACACGGUCCAGACUCCUACGGGAGGCAGCAGUAGGGAAUCUUCCGCAAUGGGCGAAAGCCUGACGGAGCAACGCCGCGUGAGUGAUGAAGGUCUUCGGAUCGUAAAACUCUGUUAUUAGGGAAGAACAAAUGUGUAAGUAACUAUGCACGUCUUGACGGUACCUAAUCAGAAAGCCACGGCUAACUACGUG
rnacentral:rRNA from 1 species